CAGUGAACACAAACUUGUCCUUAAAUCCUCAACUGCACUUGUAAUAUAAAUCUUUUCUUCUUUUCCAUUAAGAUGAUAGAUGGUGUAAAUCCAAGCAGUAUUCCUCCUGAUUUUGUGUCCCACGUUGCCUUGAGUCUGUUGAGAGCAGAGAAAUGAUUUCCAUAGAGAGGAGGCUUUGCAUGGUCAGCUGAUCCUCCAGUGAAGUGAGAAGGUUUAUAGUCCUGUGAGUUCAACACUGCAGGACUCAGAUGUGUCAGUCAACACAGCAGAAAGCACAAGCACCAUGACUCUCAUCACCAUCCUCAUCUGGACGCUGGCCUGCUGCUGUUUCACAGGAUGCAGCGCUCAGGUGACUGUGACUCAGCCUCCAGUGGUGACAUUUACUCCAGGAUCCACUGUCACUCUCACCUGUAAGACCAGCCAAGAUGUUUACAGAUAUGAGGAUGAUGACAGUGAAUUUGAGGCUAUGUUCUGGUAUCAACAGAAAUCUGGACAGCCUCCAAAGACCCUAAUAUCAAUUGUCAACAUACGUGUAUCAGGAACACCAGCUCGGUUUAGUGGCAGUGGAAGCAGCUCUGACUUCACUCUGACCAUCAGUGGAGUUCAGACUGAAGAUGCAGCAGUUUAUUACUGUCAGAGUGUACACUUAAUAAACAGUGCUGAGGUGUUCACACAGUGA